rnacentral:misc_RNA from 1 species
AACGCACAUUGCGCCCUUUGGUAUUCCGAAGGGCAUGCCUGUUCGAGCGUCAUUAUAACCACUCAAGCUCUCGCUUGGUAUUGGGGUUCGCGGUCUCGCGGCCCCUAAAAUCAGUGGCGGUGCCUGUCGGCUCUACGCGUAGUAAUACUCCUCGCGAUUGAGUCCGGUCGGUGACUUGCCAGCAACCCCCAAAUUUUUCAGGUUGACCUCGGAUCAGGUAGGGAUACCCGCUGAACUUAA